GGGGACGUUCUUGGAUUCGACGGGGAUAGUUCGAGCAUGGGUAGCGGGUAGUGGGGACGCGACCACUUCAUCAACGCUAAAGCCUAUUAAAUGGCAAACAACAACAAUCUUACGCUUUCGCAGCUUAAUAACCUGUGAGCGUGCUUCUACCUUCCAUCGCCCAUGUGGCGGGAUAGGGGCUCAACUUUAGUGGGAUACGCUGUCUAGUCUCCGCCUGGGGCUAGCUGAAGAAGACAAUCAGGCUGACCCAACGCACAGCCGGUUACGGGGCGAUGCUCGGGUGACAUCAAAACUGUGACUACACUCGUAGAAGCCUAUGUGGCGUUAUCUUCGGACAGGGGUUCGACUCCCCUCGUCUCCAUAA
rnacentral:tmRNA from 2 species